rnacentral:tRNA from 2 species
CAAGAUAUAGCUUAAACAAAGCAUCUAGUUUACACCUAGAAGAUUCCACACUCUGUGUAUAUCUUGA